rnacentral:misc_RNA from 1 species
GGAGAUUAUAGCACAUCUCAAACGUUAUCACAACCAAUAGUUGAUAUUCAAUACAAGCAAACUCGAUUUGUGACGGCAUUGUUCAUGGCUCGCCAGCUUUAUUUAAAGCAAUGGUUCUAAUUUAUCUUAUUUGGAUAAUGGUUUCUUUAUAUAAUUACUUUCUCCCUAUUUUCCUGCUGGUUGAAAAGCCUCCUUUGCCUCUCAGAGUGCAAUUGUCGAGCAAAUGUUUUCAGAGCUUCUUCGUUACUGAAAUUCUGCUUUGCGUGGGCUCCAGUAUUUGGGUCUACGAAAGUGGCAUUUCUUUUUAAAAUUUCAUGGGCAAUUCUCUUCAAUUCCUCAAACCCCCUGGCUGAUCCAUCAAAUUACUGAAGGCGCGAGAUUAUUUGGUUCAAAACCCUGGCAAUUAAUUAUCAAAGAAAAUCAGUGAGUAAUUAGUGUACCUGGAUGCGUAAAAAAUUGAAUCGGCCCUCAUGCAGCUGGCUAGGCAGCAUCUGCGUCAUGUACAUCUCCAUAAUAUCACCGAAGAGAAUGUACAUGCAUUGCAAGACUCAGGCCCUGAUGCCCUUCCAAAUACUUCUUGAAAUGUAAUCUAUAAUUAAACUUGGCAUGACUAAAAUCUCACUUGGCGGAGCUUUUCGCCGGAUAGUUCCAAAGGAAAGAACCAGAUAAUUUUUAUAGUUUGGUCGACUGCCGUAAAGUCUUGCUCCUUCACUCACGGCAAGCAGGGUAGGAUUGUUGGCCACAAUGCUGCCAUCAGCGAACCUUCCAAAUUUGCCCGAGUACUUGAAAGAAUGGAGAGGGAGAACAGUCGGGAUAGCUGAGGAGCUAAGAACCACAUCUCUAAGGGUUACUUCCUCGUUAAAAUUUGCAUAAAGUUUCCUGGCCUGACUAGUGGAGAAAACCACAGGUCUUGUGCUGUCAAAAUUGUAAGCAGGGACAAUUACAUCGCUUACUGUCUGGUCGAGCCGAGUAUUAUCUAGCUUGCUUUUCAACUUUUUAUCAAGCACUUCCGCAGGAUAUGUAUCUGCUUCCCAAUUUCUCUGCCAAUAUUCAUCGACUAUAGUCCAAAAUUUCUUGCUUGGAUCAAGAAUGGUCCUCACCGUUGAAGUAAACAAACCAAAAGCACCGACUCCUAAGUUGACGGCUCUAUCGAUUAUUUUUUGCUCAUCCUCAUCUGGGAAGGUGUUGCGGCUUAUUUCUCUCAAGGAAGACAUAAUGUCGGACAUAUCAUAUUGAGGAAGUGAAGGCAGCGGCAUGCUUGGUUUUGUUAGCAUGGCUGCCACCGAAGAACCUGUCCCUGUUCCCCCUAUCACAUCAAAGUAGUCUGCAAUUCUUACAUCAUUGGGAUUUCCCUCCUUUUCCUUCUCAAAAUCGUGCUUAUUUAUAUAACGACAAUAAAUAAUGGGGCAAAAAAUAUUCAUAUAAUUAAAUAUUUUCUUAUAGACCAAGUUAUAUAAUUAUAAUUUAAAUUAAUUACCUUGAGUUGACCUUCAAGGAAACCGAGCACGACUGCCGGAUCAAUUCCAUGGACUGCUCCAUCGAUCUCAGCACUGUCACACAUUCACCAUCGCUGCGAGGAUAAACCAUUUGCUUGUUAUUUU